UUGAACGCUGGCGGCAGGCCUAACACAUGCAAGUCGAGCGGUAGCACAGAGAGCUUGCUCUCGGGUGACGAGCGGCGGACGGGUGAGUAAUGUCUGGGAAACUGCCUGAUGGAGGGGGAUAACUACUGGAAACGGUAGCUAAUACCGCAUAAUGUCGCAAGACCAAAGUGGGGGACCUUCGGGCCUCAUGCCAUCAGAUGUGCCCAGAUGGGAUUAGCUAGUAGGUGGGGUAACGGCUCACCUAGGCGACGAUCCCUAGCUGGUCUGAGAGGAUGACCAGCCACACUGGAACUGAGACACGGUCCAGACUCCUACGGGAGGCAGCAGUGGGGAAUAUUGCACAAUGGGCGCAAGCCUGAUGCAGCCAUGCCGCGUGUGUGAAGAAGGCCUUCGGGUUGUAAAGCACUUUCAGCGGGGAGGAAGGCGUUAAGGUUAAUAACCUUGGCGAUUGACGUUACCCGCAGAAGAAGCACCGGCUAACUCCGUGCCAGCAGCCGCGGUAAUACGGAGGGUGCAAGCGUUAAUCGGAAUUACUGGGCGUAAAGCGCACGCAGGCGGUCUGUCAAGUCGGAUGUGAAAUCCCCGGGCUCAACCUGGGAACUGCAUUCGAAACUGGCAGGCUAGAGUCUUGUAGAGGGGGGUAGAAUUGCAGGUGUAGCGGUGAAAUGCGUAGAUAUUAGGAGGAACACCAGUGGCGAAGGCGGAUUGCUGGACGACAACUGACGGUGAGGCGCGAAAGCGUGGGGAGCAAACAGGAUUAGAUACCCUGGUAGUCCACGCCGUAAACGAUGUCGAUUUGGAGGUUGUGCCCUUGAGGCGUGGCUUCCGGAGCUAACGCGUUAAAUCGACCGCCUGGGGAGUACGGCCGCAAGGUUAAAACUCAAAUGAAUUGACGGGGGCCCGCACAAGCGGUGGAGCAUGUGGUUUAAUUCGAUGCAACGCGAAGAACCUUACCUGGUCUUGACAUCCACAGAACUUUCCAGAGAUGGAUUGGUGCCUUCGGGAACUGUGAGACAGGUGCUGCAUGGCUGUCGUCAGCUCGUGUUGUGAAAUGUUGGGUUAAGUCCCGCAACGAGCGCAACCCUUAUCCUUUGUUGCCAGCGGUUAGGCCGGGAACUCAAAGGAGACUGCCAGUGAUAAACUGGAGGAAGGUGGGGAUGACGUCAAGUCAUCAUGGCCCUUACGACCAGGGCUACACACGUGCUACAAUGGCAUAUACAAAGAGAAGCGACCUCGCGAGAGCAAGCGGACCUCAUAAAGUAUGUCGUAGUCCGGAUUGGAGUCUGCAACUCGACUCCAUGAAGUCGGAAUCGCUAGUAAUCGUAGAUCAGAAUGCUACGGUGAAUACGUUCCCGGGCCUUGUACACACCGCCCGUCACACCAUGGGAGUGGGUUGCAAAAGAAGUAGGUAGCUUAACCUUCGGGAGGGCGCUUACCACUUUGUGAUUCAUGACUGGGGUG
rnacentral:rRNA from 1 species